rnacentral:rRNA from 1 species
UGCCAGCAGCCGCGGUAAUACGGAGGGUCCAAGCGUUAUCCGGAAUCGUUGGGUUUAAAGGGUGCGCAGGCGGCCUUUUAAGUCAGUGGUGAAAUCCCAUGGCUCAACCAUGGAACUGCCAUUGAAACUGAAAGGCUUGAGUGUAGUUGAAGUAGGCGGAAUGUGUAGUGUAGCGGUGAAAUGCUUAGAUAUUACACAGAACACCGAUUGCGAAGGCAGCUUACUAAGCUACUAUUGACGCUCAGGCACGAAAGCGUGGGGAGCGAACAGGAUUAGAUA